rnacentral:rRNA from 1 species
AUGGUGGGAGUGGAUAGGAGUGACUUUGUUCAACAUCUUGUUGAUCGGGUAUGUGAGAAGCUUAAAGGCUGGAAAGAAAAGAUGUUAUUUGUUGGGGCCAAGGAGGCUUUGUUGAAAGUUAUGGCACAGGGAAUUCCCUCAUAAGCAAUGUCAGUGUUAAUUCCUUUGGGAAUUUGCAAAGCUAUUACUGAUGAGAUUGCAGCCUACUGGUGGGGAGAUGAUGAAACAAAGAAAAAGAUGCAUUGGAUGGUGUGGUGGAAGAUGUGCAUUCCGAAGAGGAUAGGAGGUAUGGGCUUUAGGGACCUUCAUAGAUUUAAUCUUGCUAUGAUAGCAAAGCAAUGUUGGUGACUAAUAUAGAAUUCAGAAUCUUUUUGUGCCAGUGUUCUCGGUGCAAAAUACUUCCCAUAUGGUGAUAUUCUAAAUGCAGGGCCAAAGGGUGGUUCUUCUUAUAGAUGGCAAAGCAUUUGUGCACGCAUCCAAACCUUUAAAAGGGGGUGUAUUUGGAGAGUGGGAACAAAGUAA